AGCUUGCUACAUGACCUAGCGGCGGACGGGUGAGUAAUGCUUAGGAAUCUGCCUAUUAGUGGGGGACAACAUUCCGAAAGGAAUGCUAAUACCGCAUACGCCCUACGGGGGAAAGCAGGGGAUCUUCGGACCUUGCGCUAAUAGAUGAGCCUAAGUCAGAUUAGCUAGUUGGUGGGGUAAAGGCCUACCAAGGCGACGAUCUGUAGCGGGUCUGAGAGGAUGAUCCGCCACACUGGGACUGAGACACGGCCCAGACUCCUACGGGAGGCAGCAGUGGGGAAUAUUGGACAAUGGGCGCAAGCCUGAUCCAGCCAUGCCGCGUGUGUGAAGAAGGCCUUUUGGUUGUAAAGCACUUUAAGCGAGGAGGAGGCUACCGAGAUUAAUACUCUUGGAUAGUGGACGUUACUCGCAGAAUAAGCACCGGCUAACUCUGUGCCAGCAGCCGCGGUAAUACAGAGGGUGCGAGCGUUAAUCGGAUUUACUGGGCGUAAAGCGUGCGUAGGCGGCUUUUUAAGUC
rnacentral:rRNA from 1 species